AUUGAACGCUGGCGGCAGGCUUAACACAUGCAAGUCGAGCGGGGGAAGGUAGCUUGCUACUGGACCUAGCGGCGGACGGGUGAGUAAUGCUUAGGAAUCUGCCUAUUAGUGGGGGACAACAUCUCGAAAGGGAUGCUAAUACCGCGUACGUCCUACGGGAGAAAGCAGGGGAUCUUCGGACCUUGCGCUAAUAGAUGAGCCUAAGUCGGAUUAGCUAGUUGGUGGGGUAAGGGCCUACCAAGGCGACGAUCUGUAGCGGGUCUGAGAGGAUGAUCCGCCACACUGGGACUGAAACACGGCCCAGACUCCUACGGGAGGCAGCAGUGGGGAAUAUUGGACAAUGGGGUGAACCCUGAUCCAGCCAUGCCGCGUGUGUGAAGAAGGUCUUAUGGUUGUAAAGCACUUUAAGCGAGGAGGAGGCUACUCUAGUUAAUACCUAGGGAUAGUGGACGUUACUCGCAGAAUAAGCACCGGCUAACUCUGUGCCAGCCGCCGCCGUAA
rnacentral:rRNA from 1 species